rnacentral:rRNA from 1 species
AAGACCUUGCGCUUUUGGAGCGGCCGAUGUCUGAUUAGCUAGUUGGUGGGGUAAUGGCCUACCAAAGCUUCGAUCAGUAGCUGGUCUGAGAGGACGGCCAGCCACACUGGGACUGAGACACGGCCCAGACUCCUACGGGAGGCAGCAGUGGGGAAUUUUGGACAAUGGGCGCAAGCCUGAUCCAGCCAUGCCGCGUGAGUGAAGAAGGCCUUCGGGUUGUAAAGCUCUUUCAGCCGGGAAGAAAAGGCUGCGACUAAUAAUCGCAGUUCAUGACGGUACCGGAAGAAGAAGCACCGGCUAACUACAUGCCAGCAGCCGCGGUAAUACGUAGGGUGCGAGCGUUAAUCGGAAUUACUGGGCGUAAAGGGUGCGCAGGCGGUUUUGUAAGUCAGAUGUGAAAUCCCCGGGCUUAACCUGGGAACU